rnacentral:rRNA from 1 species
UAAUCUACUGGAUAGUUAACAGUUACUUGGAUAACUGCGGUAAUUCUGGAGCUAAUACAUGCACAAAGCCUCGAACUUACGUGAGAGGCGCUUUUAUUAGAUCAAAACCAAACGUUUUCGAACGUUUCUUUGGUGACUCUGAAUAACUUUGGGCUGAUCGCACAGCCUUGCGCUGGCGACAUAUCCUUCGAAGGUGUGCCCUAUCAACUGUCGACUGUGGCAUAGACGCCCACAGUGGUUUUGACGGGUAACGGGGAAUCAGGGUUCGAUUCCGGAGAGGGAGCCUUAAAAACGGCUACCACAUCUAAGGAAGGCAGCAGGCACGCAAAUUACCCAAUGACCGAAGGUCGAGGUAGUGACGAAAAAUAACGAUACGGGACUCAUCCGAGGCCCCGUAAUCGGAAUGAGUACACUUUAAAACCGUCCCCGAGGAUCUAUUGGAGGGCAAGUCUGGUGCCAGCAGCCGCGGUAAUUCCAGCUCCAAUAGCGUAUAUUAAAGUUGUUGUGGUUAAAAAGCUCGUAGUUGGAUCUCCACAGUCUGAGGUUGGUGAACUUGCUAGUUCUACUGCCCUAUAGACUGUAGUUUUGCCAGAGGUGUUUGGGUGCUCUUAAUCGAGUGUCCUAAUAUGCUGGCAGGUUUACUUUGAAAAAAUUAGAGUGCUCAAAGCAGGCUAUUAUGCCUGAAUAUUCGUGCAUGGAAUAAUAGAAUAGGAAGUCGUUUCUAUUUUGUUGGUUUUUAAGUUUCGACUUAAUGAUUAAUAGGGACAAACCGGGGGCAUUUGUAUUCAAACGACAGAGGUGAAAUUCUUGGACCGUUUGAAGACAAACUACUGCGAAAGCAUUUGCCAAGAGUGUUUUCAUUAAUCAAGAACGAAAGUUAGAGGUUCGAAGGCGAUUAGAUACCGCCCUAGUUCUAACCAUAAACGAUGCCAGCUA